rnacentral:rRNA from 2 species
GGGUUGUGAGGUUAAGCGACUAAGCGUACACGGUGGAUGCCCUGGCAGUCAGAGGCGAUGAAGGACGUGCUAAUCUGCGAAAAGCGUCGGUAAGGUGAUAUGAACCGUUACAGCCGGCGAUGUCCGAAUGGGGAAACCCAGUGCAAUUCGUUGCACUAUCGUUAACUGAAUACAUAGGUUAACGAGGCGAACCGGGGGAACUGAAACAUCUAAGUACCCCGAGGAAAAGAAAUCAACCGAGAUUCCCCCAGUAGCGGCGAGCGAACGGGGAGCAGCCCAGAGUCUGAAUCAGCUUGUGUGUUAGUGGAACGGUCUGGAAAGUCCGACGGUACAGGGUGAUAGUCCCGUACACCAAAAUGCACAGGUUGUGAACUCGAAGAGUAGGGCGGGACACGUGGUAUCCUGUCUGAAUAUGGGGGGACCAUCCUCCAAGGCUAAAUACUCCUGACUGACCGAUAGUGAACCAGUACCGUGAGGGAAAGGCGAAAAGAACCCCGGCGAGGGGAGUGAAAAAGAACCUGAAACCGUGUACGUACAAGCAGUGGGAGCACCUUCGGGUGUGACUGCGUACCUUUUGUAUAAUGGGUCAGCGACUUAUAUUCUGUAGCAAGGUUAACCGUAUAGGGGAGCCGCAGGGAAACCGAGUCUUAACUGGGCGUUAAGUUGCAGGGUAUAGACCCGAAACCCGGUGAUCUAGCCAUGGGCAGGUUGAAGGUUGGGUAACACUAACUGGAGGACCGAACCGACUAAUGUUGAAAAAUUAGCGGAUGACUUGUGGCUGGGGGUGAAAGGCCAAUCAAACCGGGAGAUAGCUGGUUCUCCCCGAAAGCUAUUUAGGUAGCGCCUCGUGAACUCAUCUUCGGGGGUAGAGCACUGUUUCGGCUAGGGGGUCAUCCCGACUUACCAACCCGAUGCAAACUACGAAUACCGAAGAAUGUUAUCACGGGAGACACACGGCGGGUGCUAACGUCCGUCGUGAAGAGGGAAACAACCCAGACCGCCAGCUAAGGUCCCAAAGUCAUGGUUAAGUGGGAAACGAUGUGGGAAGGCACAGACAGCCAGGAUGUUGGCUUAGAAGCAGCCAUCAUUUAAAGAAAGCGUAAUAGCUCACUGGUCGAGUCGGCCUGCGCGGAAGAUGUAACGGGGCUAAACCAUGCACCGAAGCUGCGGCAGCGACACUAUGUGUUGUUGGGUAGGGGAGCGUUCUGUAAGCCUGCGAAGGUGACCUGUGAGGGUUGCUGGAGGUAUCAGAAGUGCGAAUGCUGACAUAAGUAACGAUAAAGCGGGUGAAAAGCCCGCUCGCCGGAAGACCAAGGGUUCCUGUCCAACGUUAAUCGGGGCAGGGUGAGUCGACCCCUAAGGCGAGGCCGAAAGGCGUAGUCGAUGGGAAACAGGUUAAUAUUCCUGUACUUGGUGUUACUGCGAAGGGGGGACGGAGAAGGCUAUGUUAGCCGGGCGACGGUUGUCCCGGUUUAAGCAUGUAGGCUGGUUGUCCAGGCAAAUCCGGAUAAUCAAGGCUGAGGUGUGAUGACGAGGCACUACGGUGCUGAAGUAACAAAUGCCCUGCUUCCAGGAAAAGCCUCUAAGCAUCAGGUAACACGAAAUCGUACCCCAAACCGACACAGGUGGUCAGGUAGAGAAUACCAAGGCGCUUGAGAGAACUCGGGUGAAGGAACUAGGCAAAAUGGUGCCGUAACUUCGGGAGAAGGCACGCUGGUGUGUAGGUGAAGUCCCUGCGGAUGGAGCUGAGACCAGUCGAAGAUACCAGCUGGCUGCAACUGUUUAUUAAAAACACAGCACUGUGCAAACACGAAAGUGGACGUAUACGGUGUGACGCCUGCCCGGUGCCGGAAGGUUAAUUGAUGGGGUUAUCCGUAAGGAGAAGCUCUUGAUCGAAGCCCCGGUAAACGGCGGCCGUAACUAUAACGGUCCUAAGGUAGCGAAAUUCCUUGUCGGGUAAGUUCCGACCUGCACGAAUGGCGUAAUGAUGGCCAGGCUGUCUCCACCCGAGACUCAGUGAAAUUGAACUCGCUGUGAAGAUGCAGUGUACCCGCGGCAAGACGGAAAGACCCCGUGAACCUUUACUAUAGCUUGACACUGAACAUUGAGCCUUGAUGUGUAGGAUAGGUGGGAGGCUUUGAAGCGUGGACGCCAGUCUGCGUGGAGCCAACCUUGAAAUACCACCCUUUAAUGUUUGAUGUUCUAACGUUGGCCCCUUAUCGGGGUUGCGGACAGUGUCUGGUGGGUAGUUUGACUGGGGCGGUCUCCUCCCAAAGCGUAACGGAGGAGCACGAAGGUUAGCUAAUCCUGGUCGGACAUCAGGAGGUUAGUGCAAUGGCAUAAGCUAGCUUGACUGCGAGCGUGACGGCGCGAGCAGGUGCGAAAGCAGGUCAUAGUGAUCCGGUGGUUCUGAAUGGAAGGGCCAUCGCUCAACGGAUAAAAGGUACUCCGGGGAUAACAGGCUGAUACCGCCCAAGAGUUCAUAUCGACGGCGGUGUUUGGCACCUCGAUGUCGGCUCAUCACAUCCUGGGGCUGAAGUAGGUCCCAAGGGUAUGGCUGUUCGCCAUUUAAAGUGGUACGCGAGCUGGGUUUAGAACGUCGUGAGACAGUUCGGUCCCUAUCUGCCGUGGGCGCUGGAGAAUUGAGGGGGGCUGCUCCUAGUACGAGAGGACCGGAGUGGACGCAUCACUGGUGUUCGGGUUGUCAUGCCAAUGGCACUGCCCGGUAGCUAAAUGCGGAAGAGAUAAGUGCUGAAAGCAUCUAAGCACGAAACUUGCCCCGAGAUGAGUUCUCCCUGAGACUUUAAGUCUCCUGAAGGAACGUUGAAGACGACGACGUUGAUAGGCCGGGUGUGUAAGCGCAGCGAUGCGUUGAGCUAACCGGUACUAAUGAACCGUGAGGCUUAACCUUACAACGCCGAAG